GCCCUUGUAGCUCAGUUGGUAGAGCAGCGGUUUUGUAAACCGAAGGUCGCGGGUUCGAUUCCUGCCGGGGGCA
rnacentral:tRNA from 1 species